CGGAAUGACACGACCAAGCUGCACACGAUCUUUAGUUCUUAAUACAAAGAUCGGAAAGAAAAUAAAUCAGAAAGGAUAUUACAUCACAUUACAUUUUCUGGUGAAGCAGUUUAGCCAUGUCUCUUACUGAGGUCUGAACCACCACAGGACAUGAACGCAGGGGAGCGACUGAGGAGCGUGGAGGUCAGUUCCUCUGGGGUGUGGAGGACGUGACGGCGUUUACUUGAGAUUGUGAAGCACAAGAUUCCUGCAACAGUUUACAAGCUGACAAGUGAGGUCGUGGAGUGCUCAGAGUCCAGAAGACCGGGAAGGCAACCAGGAGUUGCUGUGGAAGACCUGAGCUUCACUGUGGAUGGGGAAGCUUGCACUCGCCUCAGAACUGCCCACCUGCCAUAUUUCUCAGUGUAAAGUGUCAAUGGCACUGCCCACCUGCCGUAUUUCUCAGUGUGAAACGUCAGUGGCUCACCUCCACCGAGCUUUCCUUUCAGCCGAGCUUCUUCCCGCUUCACCUCUGAGCCCCCGUGAUGGGGCUUCCGCUGUGACUGCAGAUUCCAGUGAUGACUGUGGUUCCAUGUUCUAAUAGGCCUGGGUUUUACUGUGCUGUUUAUGCACUCGUUCUCCAUCUGCCCUUCACAACAACACAUAGACUCCAUAUUUCUCCCCAGGUGAAUACCCUUUGCUGUUGAAGAUACCUGGACAUCAUAAUUUGUGUUCACGCAUGAAGUCUGUGUUGUUACAUGCCUACUGUGCUGCAGGAAUUUUGUGUAUAACAUGGACAAGGUCGAUGAAGUCAUUGCUUUCUAACAGAGGAGACCAUGCAAGAAACACAAAAGUGCGUUGUGGAGAAGCACAGAACACACCCCCUAAGCACCCGCCCAGUUGAGGGGGUGGGAAGUGCUCCCCAGGGAGGGGCUGCUGGCUCCAGUCCCGCAGGGUAAAGUACCGGGAAGGGCGAAAGAGGCAGCGUUUAUUCAGGUCUGGAGGUGGAAGAGGAUUCUUGUCGGAAGGACACAGUGUAAACCAGUGUAUAUUUGAUUGAGGUCUCUAGGUAGUUCCUGAGAUCAUACAGAUAAAACAUGAGUGGUUCUAAGAAUGAUCUAUAAAAGUUAUCUAUAUGCAUAAAGUGAAUGAUAAAAUCUUGCCCUCUUAUGAGCAGCAUAAUGAGUUUACCCCCCAAAAAAACUAUGAAGUACACGUUUCACAGUUCUUAAUUCCCCACACUGCCCAAGGUCUCUCUCCCCUCUCCCCGGUCAGCAGGCUGUCCGUCCUGCUCUGCAGGCGUGAGGGUGCGUGCCCCUGCAGGCCUCUUCCCGGCCUCCAUCUGGGCUAUGGUGGCUCCUCCAGUCCCUGCCUGCCUUGCAAUGCCCAGGCUCCUCAUCUUUCCCACGCCUCCAUCCCUCUGGGUCUGCCUUGGAAGCACUUACUGGCUCUACCUGGCAGUAGCAGCCACUCCACUAGAGUUGCUGGUGACCUUUUCUGGGCCUAUUCCAGUACUGUUUUUUACUUUCUUCAUGGAACUUUUCACCAUCUGAGAUUAUUCACAAUAAUUCCCAGAGAACACAGCACAUGUCUGUCUUGCUCAGCCCUGGAUCCCCACCCACUCCGGCUCUUGAGACUUGGUAAGAGAAUCCGCACCUGAAGAGACUGGGAAUGAAUGGAAAUUUUCCUCCCAAGAGAAGGGCUUUGCAUCCUCCAGGGCCAACUGGAUAGCCGUGGAAAUUGGCUGUGCAGUGGGCUUCUUCUCGCAGCUCUGCAGUCUUCUGGGGCUGUCAGCCACGAUCACCUGCGUAUGCCUGAUGAUUGCCACUCACAGGGAGAGUUAAAGCAAACCACGUUAGGUGGCCAAAUAUGUGCUGUAAAAUGGUGCAAAUGAUAGCUUUUUGGCCUUGGAAUAUGUACAGUGGAAACAUAAAACAAAACUAAAACCUCUGCUCAACACAUUUUUAAAAUUUUGUUUGGAAAAAAAAAUGCUUUUUCCUGUAAUCUUUCUUAACCAUCAGUAGAGCUGUCAUCCUCAGACAACACGCUUCACAAACAGCAGCCAAGAUGUGGGUUGUGAACGACCAUCAAGGUGCAGGAGAGGAAGAAGAAAAUCAUCAUUCAGAAGACUUGGUGGUUGUCUGGAUGCAGCGUUCCCAGCUCCCAUCCACCAGAAGUUGCUCCUGGUCAAGUUGAGUCAGCGGAAGACAAAACAGCCUCCUUCUGAGGAGCGGCGUGGUUAAGGACAGACAGCAGGCUCUGCAGGCGUGGGAGGUGGCCAGAUACAGAUGCAGUGCCGAGCCAGACAGAGAGCUCAGCGAGGAAGCCAGGAGAAAUCAAAAGACCAAGGAGAGAAGGGCACAGGCCUUGCCGUCACUGACGGCAUCUUCACGUGGACAAGAGUGGAGCUCUGCUGAGGGUGGCCCUUCACUCUGCCAGGCAUGAAGACCCUCAGCGCCCCCUUUAACAUCCGUGUCCACUUCCACACACAUAGUCACCACUCUGCAUUAGUUUGUUCUUGCAUUGCUGUAAAGACAUGCCUGAGACUGGGUAAUUUAUAAAGAAAAAUGUUUAAUCAGUUCACGGUUCUGCAGGCUGUACAGGAAGCAUGGCGGCUUCUGCUUCUGGGGAGGCCUCAGGAAAUGUCCAGUCAUGGUGGAAGGCGAAGCCAGAGUGAGCAUCUUGCAUGGCAGGAGCAGGAGCAGAAGCAAGCGAGCAAGCAAGCAAGAGAGAGAGAGAGGAGGAACUGCACACUCUUAACCACCAGAUCUCAAGAGAACUCACUGUUGUGGGACGAGCACCAAGAGGAUGGCACAAAACCAUUCAUGAGACACCACCCCCACGAUCCAACCAGCUUCCACCAGGCCCCACCUCCUGCACUGGGGAUUACAGCUCAACAGGAGAUUUGGGUGGGGACACAGAGCCGAACUAUAUAACACCCGGAUAACACUCACCCUGUCAUGUUUGUAACAGAUGUAUUGAGGUACAAUUUUAUAGAUUUUAAGCAUACAAUUGGAUGUUUUAACAAUCGCCGGCAUCAAGGUAAUGAACGGACUGCCUCCCCUCAACACUCAUUUCUGCCCCUUGGCCCUCCACCAUCCCUCCUCCCUCCUCACCCCCCAGGGGAGCAUGAAUUUGUUUCUGUCCCUGUGGAGUAGUUCACAUUUUGUGUAAACAGAAUCUCACAGAAGGUACUCUUUUUAGUCUGGCUUCCUUUACUCUGAAUAACUAUGUUACGGUUCAUCUGUGUUGUACCAUGUAUCAAGAGGCCAUUUCUUUUAACUACUGAUCAACGUUCCGCCACAGGGUCAUAUAGCACGUGUCCAUCCAUCUGAUGAUGGAGAUGAGGGUUGCUUCUGGUUUUUGACAGUCAGAUGCAAAUGCUCCAAAGAGUUGUGUGCAAGUCUCUGCACAGCUGCCUGCCGGCACUCCUCCUGGGUGAGGAUCCAGGGUGGGCUGGAUGGACGCAGGACAGGUUGCAUGAUUUAGUAUUUAAGAAACUUCCAAACUUGUUUCCAAAGUGAAGCUAUUUUACGUUUCCACUGCAGAGUAUGUAAUCCAGUUCUUCCACGCCCUUUCCCAGCUGUGGAGGGGCCAGGCUGUUGGUUUUAGCCAUUCCACAGGGGAGUGGUGGAGCCCCACAGUGGUGUUCAGUUGCAUUGUCUUGGUAACUGAUGAUACUGGAUGUCACGCAGGUGCUUAUUUGACAUUGAUAUACCUUAUUUAGUGAAGUGUCUACUAAAAUAUUUUGCCCACUUUUUUAUUGUUUUUUUCUGAUUAGUGAGUUUUUAGUGUUCUAUAUAUUCCAGAUACAAACCUUGUCAAGUACAUGGCUUUUAAAUAUUUUAUCUUAACAUUCAUUCUCUUGAUAAUUUAUUUCAAAAACAGACGUUUUAAUUUUGAUAAAGUUGAUUUUUUUGUGACAUCUAAAAUAAUUUUAAUCCAAAAUAAUAAAGUUUUUCUCCCA